rnacentral:rRNA from 1 species
AUUGAACGCUGGCGGCAUGCCUUACACAUGCAAGUCGAACGGUAGCGGGCCUUCGGGUGCCGACGAGUGGCGAACGGGUGAGUAAUGUAUCGGAACGUACCUUUCAGUGGGGGAUAACGUAGCGAAAGUUACGCUAAUACCGCAUAUUCUGUGAGCAGGAAAGCAGGGGAUCGCAAGACCUUGCGCUGAUUGAGCGGCCGAUAUCAGAUUAGCUAGUUGGUGAGGUAAAGGCUCACCAAGGCGACGAUCUGUAGCGGGUCUGAGAGGAUGAUCCGCCACACUGGAGCUGGGACACGGUCCAGACUCCUACGGGAGGCAGCAGUGGGGAAUUUUGGACAAUGGGGGCAACCCUGAUCCAGCCAUGCCGCGUGAGUGAAGAAGGCCUUCGGGUUGUAAAGCUCUUUCGGCCGGGAAGAAAUCGCACGGGCUAAUACCCUGUGUGGAUGACGGUACCGGAAUAAGAAGCACCGGCUAACUACGUGCCAGCAGCCGCGGUAAGAC